UCCUCGUUACUGAAGUUCA
rnacentral:miRNA from 1 species